UAAAGGAAGACUUGUAAUGCCAUGCAUUGAAGGAGCAGGGAGAAGAAAGCGCUGGGUAUCCUGGAGCCCCGGGGAGAGUGCCUUGUGCAACCUGACCUGAGGCUGUUGGGAAGGGUCAAGAAAGACCAUCUAUAAGAGCUGACACAUCAGAGCAAUUAGCUUCAUCUUUUUCUUGGCCCAGCUUUACAAUCAGAGCAUCUCAAAACUGGUAAUCCCCGAGGUCACUGCACCCAUCAAACUUAAUUGUCAUCACUUGCUUAAUUAUCUGAUGUAACUUCUAGCUUCAAAGGACAGAGAUUAUUUCUAUUUUGCUCACUAUUGUGUCCCUACCAUGUAACAAGGCCUGACACCUAAUAGGUACCUUGUAAACAUGGGCUGUGUGUUAGGGCAGGAAACAACAACAAAAAAACAAAACAAAACACUAGCAUGUGCAUUUCUGUAAUCUCCCUGCAAGAGCGAAGGGGAAUGUUGUUGGAACUUUUAACGACUGCCUCCUGCAUUCUGAACUCUGAACGAGCUCUGGAAGAAAACAACAAAAUCAGGAAAAACACAGUGGAAUGCUUGGACUGCAUGGAACCUUGGACAUCAGCUGAUUCCAUGUUCCAUUCCACAGACAGAAAAUGGAAAUUUAAAGAAGUUACCUGUUAACUUCUUAUACAAGGUCACUCAUGUAAUUAAUAGCAGAGCAACUCUGAAGGGUGGGUGUCCAGCUCUCCGUGCCUUGCUGUGAACCACAGACGAGGCAGAAAGAAUGUAAGAGCUCGAGGAUGGAGGAGCGCUGUGGACAGCUGCCUUCCCGACGUGAGCUGGCCAAGCAUUGACACCUCGCCGCAGCUGCUGUUACCCGGAAGACCUGCGUAAUACUGGACCCGUCAGCGUCCCACCAUGGCUGAUAGAAGACGAGAAAGAAGCCAUGACAAAACAAAACACCGAAGUAGAAGAGGCACUUGAUAAACAGGGGCUCAGUAGUUUAGGAAUGGAGGGGAUGAAAAGAAGAGAAUGGGAGGGGAUUACGAUCAAAAUGCAUUAUGUACAUGUACGAAAAUUAUGCAUAAAACGAUAAAUCUUCUAAAACCGU